CAUAUCAAUAAGCGGAGGAAAAGAAACCAACAGGGAUUCCCCUAGUAACGGCGAGUGAAGCGGGAACAGCUCAAAUUUGAAAUCUGGCCCUUGGGUCCGAGUUGUAAUUUGCAGAGGAUGCUUUUGGUGCGGUGCCUUCCGAGUUCCCUGGAACGGGACGCCUUAGAGGGUGAGAGCCCCGUACGGUUGGCCACCAAGCCUGUGUAAAGCUCCUUCGACGAGUCGAGUAGUUUGGGAAUGCUGCUCAAAAUGGGAGGUAUAUUUCUUCUAAAGCUAAAUACUGGCCAGAGACCGAUAGCGCACAAGUAGAGUGAUCGAAAGAUGAAAAGCACUUUGAAAAGAGGGUUAAAUAGCACGUGAAAUUGUUGAAAGGGAAGGAUUUAUGACCAGACUUUUUCUGGGGGGAUCAUCCGGUGUUCUCACCGGUGCACUUCCCCCAGUUGAGGCCAGCAUCGGUUUCUGCCGGGGGAUAAAAGCUUUGGGAAUGUGGCUCCUUCGGGAGUGUUAUAGCCCGUUGCAUAAUACCCUGGCGGGGACCGAGGUUCGCGCAUUGCAAGGAUGCUGGCGUAAUGGUUAUUAAUCACCCGUCUUGAAACACGGAC
rnacentral:rRNA from 2 species